rnacentral:rRNA from 1 species
CGUACACUCCUACGGGAGGCAGCAGUGGGGAAUAUUGGACAAUGGGCGCAAGCUUGAUCCAGCCAUGCCGCGUGAGUGAUGAAGGCCCUAGGGUUGUAAAGCUCUUUCACCGGUGAAGAUAAUGACGGUAACCGGAGAAGAAGCCCCGGCUAACUUCGUGCCAGCAGCCGCGGUAAUACGAAGGGGGCUAGCGUUGUUCGGAUUUACUGGGCGUAAAGCGCACGUAGGCGGACUAUUAAGUCAGGGGUGAAAUCCCGGGGCUCAACCCCGGAACUGCCUUUGAUACUGGUAGUCUUGAGUUCGAGAGAGGUGAGUGGAAUUCCGAGUGUAGAGGUGAAAUUCGUAGAUAUUCGGAGGAACACCAGUGGCGAAGGCGGCUCACUGGCUCGAUACUGACGCUGAGGUGCGAAAGCGUGGGGAGCAAACAGGAUUAGAUACCCCAGUAGUCCCAUG